CGCGUAGGCGGCCUGUUAAGUCGAACGUGAAAUCCCUGGGCUCAACCCAGGAACUGCGUCCGAUACUGGCAGGCUUGAAUCCGGGAGAGGGAUGUGGAAUUCCAGGUGUAGCGGUGAAAUGCGUAGAUAUCUGGAGGAACACCGGUGGCGAAGGCGGCAUCCUGGACCGGUAUUGACGCUGAGGCGCGAAAGCCAGGGAGCAAACG
rnacentral:rRNA from 1 species